rnacentral:rRNA from 1 species
AGAGUUUGAUCAUGGCUCAGGGCGAACGCUGGCGGCGCGCCUAACACAUGCAAGUCGAACGGAGCUGAGAGGAGCUUGCUUUUCUUAGCUUAGUGGCGAACGGGUGAGUAACGCGUGAGUAACCUGCCCUGGAGUGGGGGACAACAGUUGGAAACGACUGCUAAUACCGCAUAAGCCCACGGAUCCGCAUGGAUCUGCGGGAAAAGGAUUUAUUCGCUUCAGGAUGGACUCGCGUCCAAUUAGCUAGUUGGUGAGGUAACGGCCCACCAAGGCGACGAUUGGUAGCCGGACUGAGAGGUUGAACGGCCACAUUGGGACUGAGACACGGCCCAGACUCCUACGGGAGGCAGCAGUGGGGGAUAUUGCACAAUGGGGGAAACCCUGAUGCAGCGACGCCGCGUGGAGGAAGAAGGUUUUCGGAUUGUAAACUCCUGUCGUUAGGGACGAUAAUGACGGUACCUAACAAGAAAGCACCGGCUAACUACGUGCCAGCAGCCGCGGUAAAACGUAGGGUGCAAGCGUUGUCCGGAAUUACUGGGUGUAAAGGGAGCGCAGGCGGACCGGCAAGUUGGAAGUGAAAACUAUGGGCUCAACCCAUAAAUUGCUUUCAAAACUGCUGGCCUUGAGUAGUGCAGAGGUAGGUGGAAUUCCCGGUGUAGCGGUGGAAUGCGUAGAUAUCGGGAGGAACACCAGUGGCGAAGGCGACCUACUGGGCACCAACUGACGCUGAGGCUCGAAAGCAUGGGUAGCAAACAGGAUUAGAUACCCUGGUAGUCCAUGCCGUAAACGAUGAUUACUAGGUGUUGGAGGAUUGACCCCUUCAGUGCCGCAGUUAACACAAUAAGUAAUCCACCUGGGGAGUACGACCGCAAGGUUGAAACUCAAAGGAAUUGACGGGGGCCCGCACAAGCAGUGGAGUAUGUGGUUUAAUUCGAAGCAACGCGAAGAACCUUACCAGGUCUUGACAUCCGAUGCAUAGCGCAGAGAUGCGUGAAGUCCUUCGGGACAUCGAGACAGGUGGUGCAUGGUUGUCGUCAGCUCGUGUCGUGAGAUGUUGGGUUAAGUCCCGCAACGAGCGCAACCCUUAUUGCCAGUUACUACGAAAGAGGACUCUGGCGAGACUGCCGUUGACAAAACGGAGGAAGGUGGGGAUGACGUCAAGUCAGCACGGCCCUUACGUCCGGGGCUACACACGUGUUACAAUGGCAGGUACAGAGAGACGGUCCCUUGCAAAACGGAUCAAAUCCUUAAAGCCUGUCUCAGUUCGGACUGGGGCCUGCAACCCGACCCCACGAAGCUGGAUUCGCUAGUAAUCGCGCAUCAGCCAUGGCGCGGUGAAUACGUUCCCGGGCCUUGUACACACCGCCCGUCAAGCCAUGAAAGCCGGGGGCGCCUAAAGUCCGUGACCGUAAGGAGCGGCCUAGGGCGAAACUGGUAAUUGGGGCUAAGUCGUAACAAGGUA